GCCCUGCUGGCGCAAUGGUAGCGCGUUGGACUUCUAAAAUCGAGAUGACGGAAACGUUUAUGCUCCUUCAUUCUAUGAAAUCCAAAGGUUGCGGGUUCGAGUCCCGCGUGGGGUG